GAUGAACGCUGGUGGCGUGCCUAACACAUGCAAGUCGAGCGAUUCUCUUCGGAGAAGAGCGGCGGACGGGUGAGUAACGCGUGGGUAACCUGCCCUGUACACACGGAUAACAUACCGAAAGGUAUGCUAAUACGAGAUAACAUGCUUUUAUCGCAUGGUAGAAGUAUCAAAGCCUUUGCGGUACAGGAUGGACCCGCGUCUGAUUAGCUAGUUGGUGAGGUAACGGCUCACCAAGGCGACGAUCAGUAGCCGACCUGAGAGGGUGAUCGGCCACAUUGGAACUGAGACACGGUCCAAACUCCUACGGGAGGCAGCAGUGGGGAAUAUUGCACAAUGGGCGAAAGCCUGAUGCAGCAACGCCGCGUGAGCGAUGAAGGCCUUCGGGUCGUAAAGCUCUGUCCUCAAGGAAGAUAAUGACGGUACUUGAGGAGGAAGCCCCGGCUAACUACGUG
rnacentral:rRNA from 1 species